rnacentral:rRNA from 1 species
ACCGAAAGGCCUCGCGCGAUUGGAGCGGCCGAUGUCGGAUUAGCUAGUUGGUAGGGUAAAGGCCUACCAAGGCGACGAUCCGUAGCGGGUCUGAGAGGAUGAUCCGCCACACUGGGACUGAGACACGGCCCAGACUCCUACGGGAGGCAGCAGUGGGGAAUUUUGGACAAUGGGCGCAAGCCUGAUCCAGCCAUGCCGCGUGAGUGAAGAAGGCCUUCGGGUUGUAAAGCUCUUUCAGGUGGAAAGAAAACGCAUAGGUUAAUACCUUGUGUGGAUGACGGUACCAUCAGAAGAAGCACCGGCUAACUACGUGCCAGCAGCCGCGGUAAUACGUAGGGUGCGAGCGUUAAUCGGAAUUACUGGGCGUAAAGCGUGCGCAGGCGGUGAUGUAAGACAGAUGUGAAAUCCCCGGGCUCAACCUGGGAACUGCGUUUGUGACUGCAUCACUCGAGUACGGCAGAGGGAGGUGGAAUUCCGCGUGUAGCAGUGAAAUGCGUAGAUAUGCGGAGGAACACCGAUGGCGAAGG